rnacentral:pre_miRNA from 1 species
UAUAAACCAGUGGAGAAAAGGCAAGAUGUUGGCAUAGCUGUGUGAUUUAAUACGAACCCAGCUGUGUCCUCAUAUUGCCAUUUAUUCACGUGGUUAUUCG